CUCAAAAAAAUAAAUAAAUAAAAUAAAAUAAAUAAAAGGCCCUUUUAAUUUUUCUGAAUUUUACUUAUUAUAGAUCUUUCUUAAGUCCUAAUAAUUUGUCCUCCCCUUAUCUCUGUUUCUGCUGACACUCCAACUCCCUAACUUACAGCUCUAUCUUUUAAACUUUUAAAAGUUGUACUUGUAGCACAAGAUAAAUCUCCAUCGUAAGGAUUCCUUUUAUUAGUAUAUUUCUUGUUUCAUAUUUAACUACCCAAUUAGGCACUACACUUUUUGGGAACCAUUCUUUUGGGUGUUUAUUUAAAAACAUUGGGCAGCUCUAUAGCAUUUCCUAAACACAGGGAAAAGUAAAAAUUUUCCAAAAUCAUGAAUUUUAUAGAUAAUCGUCUUCAGAACACAAAUAUUGGUAUUUGGCCAUAGGAAAGUUGUUGUUGUUGACGUUUUAAUUUUGUGUAUUAUACCAUAAGGUUUUCUACAGUUUUUUCCCCCUUUAAACCAUUACAAUAUGUACAUGUUGAAAUUAAUUUAUUAAGAAGUAGCAAGUUGAACUCUCUGUAAACUCGAUCAUUAUUACAAAGUAGUAAGCUAGAGAUCAGAAGAAUAGUUGACUUUUCUGUAUAAUCUUGAACAGCUUUUGGGGGAAUGAGGAAAUGAGUUUUCUUUUCAAGUUAAUUGGUAUUUUGAAAACGCCACAAAGAGGUUCAGUAGAUGAUAGUUUAUACUCAUGGAAUUUUUGCUGGUGGGAGUUUUUGUAAAGCCAUCAACAUUUUGUGCUAGAUCUUUGGGGAACUUUCAGUUGCUAAUAAAUUUUGUAAUUUGCAUUGAAGUUACUUUAAAAAAAUUAUCUAACAACAUCUUUUUUUCCCCAGAACUGUCAGAAUUAUAAUACAUUCUGAAUUCUAUUUUGUGAGGUCUUUCUUGGAUGCCUGGACCAUGGAUUAAUUACAAAAAUGCCUUUCCAACCAAGCCUGAACCUUUUCUUUGCUUCCAAGGGCCUCCCUAAGAUGCUAUUAGCCUAUCUAUGCAUAUUUUCAAAGGAACUUCUGCUCCUGCCAGGGGCCCUCCUGAACGUCUUCCACGCAAGUCUGGUUUCCUUCUGCCUUACAUGCCUCUGGGCAGGCAAAGAAAUCCUUCUUUCUGACUAGCUGCAAAUCCGACUUUUGUGGGAAUACUCUUUAAGAAAAAGCAAAUUAAUUUCAAAGACAAAACUAGGUUCAAAAGUGAAUAUUUACAAAGAGGAGAUAAAUCACAAAAAUGGCAACUUAAAAAAAUUAAAUACCAAAAAUUCAGAAAAA